rnacentral:rRNA from 1 species
CUGCGGUGGGAAAUAACCCCGGGAAACUGGGGAUAAUGUCCCAUAGGCUACAGAUGCUGGAAUGCUCUGUAACUCAAAGAUUUAUCGCCACAGGAUGGGUCUGCGGCCGAUUAGGUAGUUGUUGGGGUAAUGGCCCAACAAGCCUUUGAUCGGUACGGGUUGUGGGAGCAAGAGCCCGGAGAUGGAUUCUGAGACACGAAUCCAGGCCCUACGGGGCGCAGCAGGCGCGAAAACUUUACAAUGCGGGAAACCGUGAUAAGGGAACUCCGAGUGUCCGUAAAUGCGGACUGUCCGUAUGUCUAAAAAGCAUGCGAAGAAAGGGCCGGGCAAGACCGGUGCCAGCCGCCGCGGUAAUACCGGCGGCUCGAGUGGUGGCCACUAUUAUUGGGCUUAAAGCGUUCGUAGCUGGAUCGUUAAGUCUCUUGGGAAAUCUACCGGCUUAACCGAUAGGCGUCCAAGGGAUACUGGCGAUCUAGGGACCGGGAGAGGUGAGGGGUACUUCAGGGGUAGGAGUGAAAUCCUGUAAUCCUUGGGGGACCACCUGUGGCGAAGGCGCCUCACCAGAACGGCUCCGACAGUGAGGGACGAAAGCUGGGGGAGCAAACCGGAUUAGAUACCCGGGUAGUCCCAGCCGUAAACGAUGCGCGUUAGGUGUAUCGAUGACCACGAGUCAUCGAGGUGCCGAAGGGAAACCGUGAAACGCGCCGCCUGGGAAGUACGGUCGCAAGGCUGAAACUUAAAGGAAUUGGCGGGGGAGCACCACAACAGGUGGAGCCUGCGGUUUAAUCGGACUCAACGCCGGAAAUCUCACCGGAUAAGACAGCUGAAUGAUAGUCGGGCUGAAGACUCUACUUGACUAGCUGAGAGGAGGUGCAUGG